AAAAACAACAACAAACUUGAUUUGGUUCAAACUCAUUUAUUAAUCGGAGCCAAGAUACAGUCUGUCCUCGAGGCAGUACUUUUACAAUAACAUGGUAUAUUAUAUUUCUUGAAAAAUAAGAAUUGUACUAGAUUAGUAAUAGUAUAAAUCGAGAGUAUUAGAUAUUUCGCUGCAUCUAAGGACAAAAUUUCAUGUACAAUAUUAGAUUUACAGAUUCAGGCCACAGCGUCGAAAUAGGAUAUAUUUUAGACAGAAUAGACGUGAUGAACAUUCGAUACGAAGUAGGAAGGAUACGGAGCGAGUGGGGGAAGAGGGGAGAGGUAGGUCUAACGUACGAUCGUUCGAACGCACGGUCGUUCGACGAGAGAAGAACGUAUACACACAGAAUUAUACGUUUGAAAAUAUUUGGCCGUACGUUCGUGCGAAAAUGAAAAUUCUCGGUUAUAAUUGUAACGAUGGAUCGAUUUGUUGAAAAUAAUAAUAAUAAUAAUAAUAAUAGAUGGAAAAUAAAUUCGCAAAAACAACGUUAUCCGUUUUUCUUUUUUAUCGAGCUAAAAGAGAAGAAUCGUGCGUUACUUCGCGAAAAGAAUUUUCUAAUUAAAUCGGACGACGAUCAAAGAGACGAACUAACUUUACAGAACCAGAUAAAUCUGCACGUGCGUGCGUGUAUGAAAAGUAAUUUCUUCGAUCGAGCAUACGAUAAAUCUCUGGUUUUUAUGGUUUCCUGUCCUGCGUUCCCUCGACACAGAGAAGCGAAAACGAAUAUAGGAGUUAAAA